rnacentral:rRNA from 1 species
GGAGAUUUGAAGGGAGCUGUCCUUAGUACGAGAGGACCGGGAUGGACAUACCUCUGGUGGACCUGUUGUGGCGCCAGCCGCAUUGCAGGGUAGCUAUGUAUGGACGGGAUAACCGCUGAAUGCAUCUAAGCGGGAAACCCACCUCAAAACCAGGUUUCCCUUGAGAGCCGUUCUAGACUAGGACGUCGAUAGGCCAGGUGUGGAAGCGCUGCGAGGCGUGGAGCUUAC